rnacentral:rRNA from 1 species
AACAGGAUUAGAUACCCUGGUAGUCCACGCCGUAAACGAUGUCGACUUGGAGGCUGUUCCCUUGAGGAGUGGCUUCCGGAGCUAACGCGUUAAGUCGACCGCCUGGGGAGUACGGCCGCAAGGUUAAAACUCAAAUGAAUUGACGGGGGCCCGCACAAGCGGUGGAGCAUGUGGUUUAAUUCGAUGCAACGCGAAGAACCUUACCUACUCUUGACAUCCAGAGAAUUUAGCAGAGAUGCUUUAGUGCCUUCGGGAACUCUGAGACAGGUGCUGCAUGGCUGUCGUCAGCUCGUGUUGUGAAAUGUUGGGUUAAGCCCCGCAACGAGCGCAACCCUUAUCCUUUGUUGCCAGCGAUUCGGUCGGGAACUCAAAGGAGACUGCCGGUGAUAAACCGGAGGAAGGUGGGGAUGACGUCAAGUCAUCAUGGCCCUUACGAGUAGGGCUACACACGUGCUACAAUGGCGCAUACAAAGAGAAGCGACCUCGCGAGAGCAAGCGGACCUCACAAAGUGCGUCGUAGUCCGGAUCGGAGUCUGCAACUCGACUCCGUGAAGUCGGAAUCGCUAGUAAUCGUGGAUCAGAAUGCCACGGUGAAUACGUUCCCGGGCCUUGUACACACCGCCCGUCACACCAUGGGAGUGGGUUGCAAAAGAAGUAGGUAGCUUAACCUUCGGGAGGGCGCUUACCACUUUGUGAUUCAUGACUGGGGUGAAGUCGUAACAAGGUAACC